rnacentral:rRNA from 1 species
UACGAAGGGUGCAAACGUUGCUCGGAAUUAUUGGGCGUAAAGCGCACGUAGGCGGCAUUGCAAGUCGGGAUGUGAAAUCCCUCGGCUUAACCAAGGAAGUGCAUCCGAAACUGCAGUGCUUGAGUACUUAAGAGGAUCGCGGAAUUCCCGGUGUAGAGGUGAAAUUCGUAGAUAUCUGGAGGAACACCGGUGGCGAAGGCGGCAUCCUGGACCGGUAUUGACGCUGAGGCGCGAAAGCUAGGGGAGCAAACGGG